rnacentral:rRNA from 1 species
GACGAACGCUGGCGGCGUGCUUAACACAUGCAAGUCGAACGAUGACGCCCGAGCUUGCUCGGUCUGAUUAGUGGCGAACGGGUGAGUAACACGUGAGCAACCUGCCCUUCACUCUGGGAUAACCUCGGGAAAUCGGGGCUAAUACCGGAUAUGAGCUCCUGUCGCAUGGCGGGUGUUGGAAAGUUUUUCGGUGAAGGAUGGGCUCGCGGCCUAUCAGUUUGUUGGUGAGGUAGUGGCUCACCAAGGCGAUGACGGGUAGCCGGCCUGAGAGGGCGACCGGCCACACUGGGACUGAGACACGGCCCAGACGCCUACGGGAGGCAGCAGUGGGGAAUAUUGCACAAUGGGCGAAAGCCUGAUGCAGCGACGCCGCGUGAGGGAUGACGGCCUUCGGGUUGUAAACCUCUUUCAGCAGGGAAGAAGCGAAAGUGACGGUACCUGCAGAAGAAGCGCCGGCUAACUACGUG